AGACUCACCAGAUGCCUGUGUGGUCAAAGCAUUCUUGAUCUACCCAAUGGCUUUCAUGCGUAUCAUGCUAUCAGCAUCUGAAUGGAAUCCACACUCCUAGAUCCAUGCUUAUCCAUCACGGAAACCAUCAUAUUUUCAAGAAAUUGAGCCAGGGACUAUUUAAACUGUCAGUGCUGCAGGAUAUGUUCUUUGCCUUCCUUAAGCGAUUCGCUCUCUGGUUUUAAAACUGCUAACUGAGGACUGUCCCACUGCUGUGAGCCCUGAUGCUGUGUGGAGCUCGGAGACAUCUUUAGGCUGCAUGCCAUACGCUCUCUACAAUGCAUAUUGCAGCCCAGGUCAGCAAUUUCAGAGACAGUGCAGUCCUGGAAGAACAUUUCUUGAACUCCUUUUUGCUGUUGGAGCCGAACACAGUUCCCAUCUGUCUGAAACUGCAUUGUGAGCUUCACAGAGGCACUUAAAGAAGUUACGUACUUAUACAUAAGGAGUAAGAUGCUAAAGGAAUCACAUCAUAAUGAAAACUUACGGAUAUAAAUGUUGUUCAUGGUACGGAAAAGAACACCGUGUAAGUACUGGCCGUGAUUUGAGAUCAGCUCUAGAAAUGAUGGAAUUGUCUGCAGGGCUCACAUGUCAACAAAAAUCAGCUGGUUUGCAAAUGAAGCACGGUAAGGAAAUUACUGCAGCAGCAGCAGUCCCAUCGCUGCUCCUAGCUGCCUCUCCCAGAGAGGAGACUUCAUUUAGUUAUCUGAGGUUACCUUGUUUGUCUGCUCCUUCUCCUCAGUUACCACUUACUCACACAUCUAGAACAGCCAGCUGCCCGUCGGCAUUGAAAGGACACGUGGCCUUCUGGAACCCUGUUCUCUAGGUAAUGCUCGCUAAUAAAAGGGAGCCAGCGAUAUAUGCA
rnacentral:lncRNA from 1 species